rnacentral:tRNA from 1 species
UCUAGUUUAUUAUAUUUUUAUUAUACUAAAUUGAUUUUUUAGAGAUUUUCUGGUUUUUUUUAAU